rnacentral:rRNA from 1 species
AUUGAACGCUGGCGGCAGGCCUAACACAUGCAAGUCGAACGAGUGGCGGACGGGUGAGAAAUGUCUGGGAAACUGCCUGAUGGAGGGGGUGAACUACUGGAAACGGUAGCUAUUACCGCAUACCAUCGGAUGUGCCCAGAUGGCAUUAGCUAGUAGGUGGGGUAAAGGCUCACCUAGGAGACGAGCCCUAGCGGGUCUGAGAGGAUGUCCAGCCACACUGGAACUGAGACACGGUCCAGACGCCUACGGGAGGCAGCAGUGGGGAAUAUUGCACAAUGGGCGAAAGCCUGAUGCAGCCAUGCCGCGUGUGUGAAGAAGGCCUUCGGGUUGUAAAGUACUUUCAGCGGGGAGGCGUUACCCGCAGAAGAAGCACCGGCUAACUCCGUGCCAGCAGCCGCGGUAAUAC